ACCCAGACUCCUACGGGAGGCAGCAGUGGGGAAUAUUGCACAAUGGGGGAAACCCUGAUGCAGCGACGCCGCGUGAGUGAAGAAGUAAUUCGUUAUGUAAAGCUCUAUCAGCAGGGAAGAAAAUGACGGUACCUGAGUAAGAAGCCCCGGCUAACUACGUGCCAGCAGCCGCGGUAAUACGUAGGGGGCAAGCGUUAUCCGGAUUUACUGGGUGUAAAGGGAGCGUAGACGGCAUGGCAAGUCAGAUGUGAAAGCCCGGGGCUCAACCCCGGGACUGCUCUUGGAACUGCGUGGCUGGAGUGCAGGAGGGGCAGGCGGAAUUCCUGGUGUAGCGGUGAAAUGCGUAGAUAUCAGGAGGAACACCGGUGGCGAAGGCGGCCUGCUGGACUGCAACUGACGUUGAGGCCCGAAAGCGUGGGGAGCAAACAGGAUUAGAUACCCGUGUA
rnacentral:rRNA from 1 species